rnacentral:tRNA from 1 species
CGGGGUGUGGCGCAGCUUGGUAGCGUGCUACGUUCGGGACGUAGAGGCCGCAGGUUCAAAUCCUGUCACCCCGA